rnacentral:rRNA from 1 species
AUUGAACGCUGGCGGCAUGCCUUACACAUGCAAGUCGAACGGCAGCACGGGAGCAAUCCUGGUGGCGAGUGGCGAACGGGUGAGUAAAGUAUCGGAACGUGCCCAGUCGUGGGGGAUAACGUAGCGCAAGUUACGCUAAUACCGCAUACGAUCUAUGGGUGAAAGCGGGGGAUCUCAAGACCUCGCGCGAUUGGAUCGGCCGAUAUCAGAUUAGGUAGUUGGUGGGGUAAAGGCUCACCAAGCCGACGAUCUGUAGCUGGUCUGAGAGGACGACCAGCCACACUGGGACUGAGACACGGCCCAGACUCCUACGGGAGGCAGCAGUGGGGAAUUUUGGACAAUGGGCGAAAGCCUGAUCCAGCCAUGCCGCGUGCAGGAUGAAGGCCUUCGGGUUGUAAACUGCUUUUGUACGGAACGAAAAGGUUUGGCCUAAUAAGCUGAGCUCAUGACGGUACCGUAAGAAUAAGCACCGGCUAACUACGUGCCAGCCGCCGCCGUAA